rnacentral:misc_RNA from 1 species
CACCAAGGUCAGUAGAAGGUUGACUAGAUUGUAUUGGUUGUCCAGGAGAGAGAUCAAUAUCUCUUGGCACUUGGACUGGCUCUGCCAAAGAAGCAGAUGCUCCUGUAGGAGUAUCCAUUGCAUAUGGGGCUUUCAAUUCGUCCUCAUUCACAAGAUUUUUGCUCAGCCCGGAUGUAGCAGCAGAUUCAGGAGUUGAAUCAUCAGGUAAAUUCAGAGCUUGUUGCUGCUGCUCCUCGGCUUUCAAAUGACCAACAUCUGCAUCUUUUGCACUAUUUGAUAUUACAACUUGUUGACUAGACUGUUGAUGGAAGGAGUUUGGCUGCUGUAAGGCAGAAGAUGUAACAGUAUUGAGACCAGGUGCCUGAACGCCAAGUCCCAGACUAGCUUGAGAAGAGACAGAUGAGCUUUGAGAAUUUAACUGCUGCAAUAGGGGGUUUUGUUGGGCAGAAAACUGUUUAUGAUUUCCACCAGCAAGUGGUGGCAUACCAAGAAGGGUGCUGUGGCCUUGUUGCUGGACUUGCUGAAGACGUUGCAAAAAUUUCUCCCUCUGAUCAGGUGCUAUUUCAGUUCUUGCACGAAAUUGUCCCAGUUCAUUCUGAUUUUGAAAGGAACCUCCAGGUCUCCACUGCAUGCCAGGGACCAAAGAAGGGGAAAAAACUCUUCCACCUAUUGCAGGAGCUUCACCAACAUUACUAGAGUCAACCAUACCUGUUCCAUCAUUAGUCUUGCCAGUCGGAGGCAAGAUCAUUCUAUUGCUUAGUGGGGAAGCCAAAGGUUGCACCAGUCCGCUACUCCCAAGUCUAUCAUCUGUUGAUAAAAUAUUUCUUUUUGUAACGUCCGAUGGUGAAGGUAGUGCACCGAGUGAUCCAUUGCUAGGAACUCCACCAGAACUAAGAGGGAUACUAGAUGAAGGAUGACUAGAGAGGCUACCUCUACCAAUGCCCCUAACUAGUCCAGUAUCAGCAAGAGCUGGUGACGGUCUAUGGCCAGGGAAACCUGCAAUUUCUUCCUCCUUCACAGAAUUUCCCGUUGUUGCAGGAGAUGAAGGAAUGGCAGCAGCUGCAUUUUCCAG